rnacentral:lncRNA from 1 species
CUGGUUUUUUGCUGAAUUAUUAAGUUUGACUAAAAGUGCCAUAUACCUAUGCGAUAAUAAAGGAGCAAAGUGUUUAAUACUCUUAUUAAACAACAAUUUCUACUUCACAAAUAAAAUAAUUCAUUAGAAACUUUGAUCUAAAUAACAACCAGGCUAGCUGCUUUUUGAAUAAAUCCACUCACCAGCUGGAAGAAAAUCAUGGCUUUGAUGAUGAUAACUCAUAUCAUCCUCUUUAUAAUUUGAUAAUUAUUUCCCAGUUAUAAAUCAUUGAUAAGAGACUAUUCUUAAAAGCCUAUUAAUAACCCUUCUGGAUUUCAAAUUGGAUCAAUGAUAUUAUUUUAAAAUAACUCUGUCACAUGACAAGUGAAUUUGUUGAGAAGACAGAGCAAUUCCAUUCCAUAAUUUCUCAUUUCCUAAGGCAGAGUAUAUGAAAUAUAAAUUAGCCCUUAAUUAAAUAAAAUACCCAAAAUAAUAACAAAGAAAUAAAAACAAAUUAGGAAAGAUCAAGGUUAAAUCUUCACAAGACUAUCAUAUAUAAAUGAUUAUUACAAAAUUACUACCAACAAAUACUAUACACCUCCAAGUUUUUCAGAAGGGGUUGGGACCAUCAUUGAACAAAAAUCUUCAAAUUUUCAAUUUGUUUCAUUACAGUGACUUAUCAAUCACAUUUUCUCAUGAACUUUUUCACUUGAUGAUAAUUUUCUUUGUUAUAAUGUUGAAUAAAUAUAAUGAUUAUACUAUAUAUAUAAUUUUGUAGAUCAAAACAGAAAUCAGCCAAAUGAAACUAAUUCAGCUAAAAUGAAAUUUAAAGAUGAACAAACCAAGAUAUUCUGAAAAUAGUAGUAGUUUUUAUAUUCUAUUAUUCAAUAUAUAAAGGACACAUGGAUAAAAGACAGAAGUCUAGAACAGUGGUAAAGCAUGUGGAAAUGAUUAACAAAUAUUUUAAUUAAAAAAUUACCAGUUUAAUAAUUAUAAAGAAAAUGUAUAUAUAAAAAAAGGUUAAAUUCUAAUAUACAAAAGUGAG